CUCCAUCGGCAGCUUCCUCCCACCUCUAGCCGCCUCGAUCAGUAUUAACGCCAAAGACCCUCCAUCCAAAGCAGGCAAAGGCAGCAAAUUUAUCACAGCCAAGUUCAAAUUCAGCAACGCCGCGAACUGAUACAGUCCGUCCACGUUCGACCUCGCUACCUCAGCCCCGUCCACGUUCGACCUCGCCACCUCCGCACCCACCGCGAUGAUCGCCACCGGCCCGGCAACUUUACUCGCCGUCUGUGAGAAGUUCAUCACCGUCUGCCUCAAACUAUCAACCACAUUAUAACUCAGCCCUGUAAACUCCCUCC
rnacentral:lncRNA from 1 species